CCUAAAUCUCUUUCUCUCUCCGUCCAUAACCGAUCUUCUCCCUUUCUCUUUCGUUUGCUCUCUGCCAACCACUAAUUGUCUCCGCCGUUCAAGCACCGGACCAGGAAGACAGGUGAUGGGGGCCUACGGCUUGGGUCGUGUGACAUGGAGGCUCGACUCGUGGGUCUACGGCAUGGCUCGCUUGUGGGUGCGACGGUGCUUGCGGCGGUGGGUCUACGGUGUGGCUCGACUUGUGGGUUAACCACAACUUCCCUCCCCAUGUUUCCCAUCACCGACCGAAGAAGCUCAUGCCUUGAGCGGCUUAAUCUGACGCCUCGUCCAACAACGUCGCCAUUCUUGGAGGGUCGGUGGAGUUUCAAAUGGUUUGGGUCUGGAAGCCCAGGUUUAUUUGUUGCCAAAUUCAUAUCCGAUUCCACCAGUACCAGGUUGUGGGAAGGGCUCUCCCUACUGAGUCUGAAGAAGCUUUGGGCCACCAAUGAGGUCGGCACCAAGUCCAAAUUCUGAAAGUUGAAUUUACUUUCAUUUGGAGAAGAAGCUGAAGAAGAGGAGAAGGAAUUAGCAGCUGUAAAGAAAAAAAUCAAGAGCAGUCAUGAUGUACUUAAUGAUCCUCGUCUUCUGAAGGAUGCUAUUCCAAAUGAUGAAUUGUGGAACUGGCAGACUAUAGUUAUAGGGGUCGCUUUCUUGGCUUUUCUUCUUGUCACCAAACACAUAGGGAAAAGAAACAAGAAGUAUUUUUGGGUUCCGGCAAUUGGAUAAACAGGGGAAAGCUACCAAGGACUAGUGUGUACAGGAACACCUUGCAAUACCCAGAGGCAAGGCAGAUUCCUGGAGUUUUGAUCAUCAGAGUUGACUCUGCUAUUUACUUCUCCAACUCUAACUAUAUUAAAGAGAGGUAUUGAUUAUAUUCCUUUGGUUGUGGAUCGAAUUGGCAAGGAGCAAAGUUAAUUAACUUGAUUAUUAAUAGCAAGAGGUACGGAAAGCAAUGGUGGAAUAUGAGCAAAAAGCUAGGGAGUUUGUUAAGACAGCCAUGACGAAUCUUGGAUUUCCAGCCAAGAUUCUUUCUCCAUGCAAAAAAUGUCACAAUCUAAGACAUCAACUUUCAGACGAAGUUGUCGAACACUUAGUUUUGUGGGGCAUGGACCAAUCUUACAAAAUAUGGUUUCAUCAUGGGGAAGAUCCAGUCCAAAGCAGCACGACAAACACAAGUUUUGAAUAUUAUGUGACAAGCGAAGUAGAAAAUGAUACUUAAUUUUGAAGGCUUUGUGUUGGGCAGCUGUAGAAUAUUUUGUGUUGAAAGUAGUAACUUUUCACUAUGUUGAAUAUUUAAGAUUCCUUGAAUACUUAAAGAACAUUUUGUUGUUGAUGACAGUGUUGAAUGUUUUAAACUAAUUUGUGGAUUGUUAAUACAAUGUUGAAUGUUUUUACUUUU